rnacentral:rRNA from 1 species
AUUGAACGCUGGCGGCAUGCUUUACACAUGCAAGUCGAACGGCAGCGCGGGCUUCGUCCUUGCGGCGCGUGGCGGACGGGUGCGUAAUACAACUGAACGUGCCCCUUCGUGGGGGAUAGCUCGGCGAAAGGCGGACUGAUACCGCAUACGCCUUGAGGGGGAAAGCGGGGGAUGUUCGGCUCUCGCGCUCUUGGCGCGGCCGAUGCCGGAUUAGCUAGUUGGUGGGGUAAAGGCCAACCAAGGCGACGAUCAGUAGCUGGUCUGAGAGGACGACCAGCCACACUGGGACUGAGACACGGCCCAGACCCCUACGGGAGGCAGCAGUGGGGAAUAUUGGACAAUGGGCGAAAGCCUGAUCCAGCAAUGCCGCGUGUGUGAUGAAGGCCUUCGGGUUGUAAAGCACUUUUGGCGGGGACGAAAAGGGCUGUGCCAAUACCACGGUUCAUUGACGGUACCCGCAGAAGAAGCACCGGCUAACUACGUG